UAAGCGGAGGAAAAGAAACUAACAAGGAUUCCCCUAGUAGCGGCGAGCGAAGCGGGAAGAGCUCAAAUUUGUAAUCUGGCAGCAAUGCCCGAGUUGUAAUCUAUAGAGUCGUUUUCGGUGCCGGACCGCGUCCAAGUCCCUUGGAACAGGGUAUCAAAGAGGGUGAGAAUCCCGUGCUUGACGCGACGACCGGGGCUGUGUGAUACGUCUUCUACGAGUCGAGUUGUUUGGGAAUGCAGCUCUAAACGGGUGGUAAAUUCCAUCUAAAGCUAAAUAUUGGCGAGAGACCGAUAGCGAACAAGUACCGUGAGGGAAAGAUGAAAAGCACUUUGGAAAGAGAGUUAAACAGUACGUGAAAUUGUUGAAAGGGAAACGAUUGAAGUCAGUCGUGUUCAUUGGUUUCAGCGGGUUCUGCCCGUGUAUUACCUUUGAACGGGUCAACAUCGGUUAGAUUGGGUGCAGAAAGGCGUUGGGAAGGUAGCACCCUCGGGUGUGUUAUAGCCCGGCGUCAUAUACACUCGACCUGACCGAGGCUUGCGGUGUGCCUCUUUUGAGGGGUCUCUUUGGACCCCCACACCUGGGAUGUUGGCAAAAUGGCUUUAAACGACCCGUCUUGAAACACG
rnacentral:rRNA from 1 species